rnacentral:sRNA from 1 species
AUGAUGCACAAAACGAACAAUAGUUUGUAAGAUGACGUUCUACACAAGCUUGGAAGUGAUGCUGUGUCUGGUGGUUUUAAUGUAUGUUGGUGUUCUCCAAACAGUGGCAUUACCAAAUGCGUAUUACUUGUGUUGCGGAUGUUUUGGACAACCUCCAGAUUGCCUUCCUGACUGGGAUCCCAAAUGUAAAAACAUAGUCUUUGGAUGAUCUGAUCCAUCACUGAAGUAUCGAUAACAUCUUUUCAAGAAAAAAAACUUCCUUUAUUUUGGAAUGUUAAAGAAAUAGAAAAAUGUAUAAAUUCAAUUAAGAUGUUUGUUUCUAACUAUUUCGCGAAAUAAAUCCUAUUCAAAUCAU